rnacentral:rRNA from 1 species
GAUGAACGCUGGCGGCGUGCCUAAUACAUGCAAGUCGAGCGAACAGACGAGGAGCUUGCUCCUUUGACGUUAGCGGCGGACGGGUGAGUAACACGUGGGUAACCUACCUAUAAGACUGGGAUAACUUCGGGAAACCGGAGCUAAUACCGGAUAAUAUUUCGAACCGCAUGGUUCGAUAGUGAAAGAUGGCUUUGCUAUCACUUAUUGAUGGACCUGCGCCGUAUUAGCUAGUUGGUAAGGUAACGGCUUACCAAGGCAACGAUACGUAGCCGACCUGAGAGGGUGAUCGGCCACACUGGAACUGAGACACGGUCCAGACUCCUACGGGAGGCAGCAGUAGGGAAUCUUCCGCAAUGGGCGAAAGCCUGACGGAGCAACGCCGCGUGAGUGAUGAAGGUCUUCGGAUCGUAAAACUCUGUUAUUAGGGAAGAACAAACGUGUAAGUAACUGUGCACGUCUUGACGGUACCUAAUCAGAAAGCCACGGCUAACUACGUG